GUGAACAUUGUGCACAUAUAUUAAAAUUGGAAUGAUACAGAGAAGAUUAGCAUAGCCUCUGCGGAAGGAUGACAUGCAAAUUCGUGAAGCGUUCCAUAUUUUU
rnacentral:snRNA from 1 species